AUUGAACGCUGGCGGCAGGCCUAACACAUGCAAGUCGAACGAGUGGCGGACGGGUGAGUAAUGUCUGGGAAACUGCCCGAUGGAGGGGGAUAACUACUGGAAACGGUAGCUAAUACCGCAUACCAUCGGAUGUGCCCAGAUGGGAUUAGCUAGUAGGUGGGGUAACGGCUCCCCUAGGCGGCGAUCCCUAGCUGGGCUGAGAGGAUGACCAGCAACACGGGAACUGAGACACGUUCCAGCCUCCUACGGGAGGCAGCAGUGGUGAAUAUUGCACAAUGGGCGCAAGCCUGAUGCAGCAAUGCCGCGUGUAUGAAGAAGGCCUUCGGGUUGUAAAGUACUUUCAGCGAGGAGGCGUUACUCGCAGAAGAAGCACCGGCUAACUCCGUGCCAACAGCCGCGGUAAUUC
rnacentral:rRNA from 1 species